UAUUUCAAAUAUUUCUCGUUUAAAAAUCAGUUAAGAAGAUAAAUUUUCAUUCAAAACGAUUUAAUAAAAUAAUCGUUUUUCUAUUACUUUCGUAGUUCUAAUAAUCUAAUAAUAAAUCGCUCUUGAACAUCGAAAAGUUUCUACUUUUGAAAUUAAGUUAGUUUGUACUUGUUAUAAUAUUUCAAUAUUUAUAUAUUAAUAUUUCAAUAUUUCGUUACUAAAAAGCAAAAGAAUUAACAAUGAAAUUUAAUUAAGAAUUCUUCGUCACCCAUUGGUAUGAGUUUUUUAAAACUAUUAUGUUAAACGAAUCAGAGGAUGUAGUAUUUUCCGCUAUGUCGUACGUGGCUGUUGCAUUUUAAUGAAUUCCAGAAUUAUACAACCCUGGUGCAUGAAUACGACACACACGAUAAGGAAAACUCGGUCGUAAGGAAAACAAUGAGUUCAUUUGGAAAUUGCUUCAAAAGACCAACAAAUCGCAUUAGUAAAAAUCAUUAACAGAUUUAAUGUCUCUUAUUCGGUAUAAAAAACAUUUAUACAUGGAUCAUUUUCAUACAGAUACAUUUUUCCAUUAUAUCAUAUAUUUUACAAAUUAUUAAAAUUUCUUACAAUUCAAUGAUAAAUCAAUUUUCAAAAAAAAAACACUGAUAUAAGUUCAUUAAUCUUGACAAAUUAAAUCGAAUAAAAAAAUUUACAAUUAUUAUUAUAUAAUAAAGUAUAAGAUCAUAAAAAAUUGAAAAUUAUAAUUUCAAAUAUUAUAUUUUAUUACUUAUAAUUAAAACAUAAACGCAAUAUCUAAAAAUUCAAUUUAUUACAUCUAAUAAUAACAGUAAACUUCUUAAAAAAUAAAAAUACAGCAACAAUAUGAAUAAACCCGAACAAGAAAAAUCAUCACAUAAGAUAAAACUUUAAAUACUUAAAUAUAAUUUUCAAUUACUGGUACAAUUAAAUAAUCUAAAUUUCAUCUUACACAAUUUCAAAUAACAUAUAUUUCAAGCACCAAAGGAGAGCAAGGAAAGAAUAAAGAAUAGAAAUAAUUUACCACUCACAGUCGUCAUUUACAACAAUAAAGAAUCAAAAACCAAUCUCAAAUACGUCUCAAAUGUACGCAAUUAACGACACUGAGAGAACAAAUGACGAAACAAUAUUCGAGGAAAAGAAAAAUAACCUGUCUGAGAAUCUGUUGAUCGAGGCAAAAGGAUUCGAAACACGAUUGCUCGAUGGAAAUCGAUCGGAGAACCGUAGUCACGGGCAAAUAGAGCUGAAUUGAAUCAGAUCGGUGCACGUGUGACGAUAUUAAUGUACCAAUCGAUGGCCUAAUGAAGAUAUAUCCAGUUCCUGGCAAUUUCUACUAGACCUGCGAAAUCCUAGCAGAAGGGACCUUGAAUUCUCGCGAACAGCCGGUCAAUGGAUUGCACGACCAAUAACUUCCCCGGGAUAAACGCGAUGCACUGGCUUUGAGAUCGCGUGUGUAUUAAUCUGCCGAUAAAAUAUCGCGGGGAUUUUUCUGUUUUUUCCUCCUCUGUGUUUUUUUUUCUUUUAUUUUUUCUUUUUUUCUUUUUUUAUUUUUUUUUCUCCUCUUUUUGUUUUGUUUGGUUUUUUUUUAACUCGUACCUCGCAUCGGGAGAAGGGUUCAUGAAGUCCGAUUGAAACACAAAAAAUCGAAAAGUUACGCGAAAGUGGAACACACUUCUUGUUAUGGCAAAAAAAAAAAAAACAUAAAGAAAUAAAUAAAAGUUUAUGAACAUUCAUAUAUCGUUGAUAAAAUGGAAAACGAUACGAAAUUUUAUAUGUAAAAUUUUUUUUUGUUUUUUUUCUGUUUUUUUUUUUGACUUCAUUGUAGCGUGAAGAAAUUUGAUGUUUCUGCGUUGGAAUGGAGAACUUUAUUCGAUAGGUUCAAAAAUAUUCCUGUUGGGGAAAUAAUUGUAUUUUUAGAUUAUGAAUAUGGAGGAAUGUUGGAUCGAUUUUCACGUGGAAAAGCUGUGUAUAUAUGCUGUAUAUGAUCUAUGUAAGAAUAUCUUUUAGGAAAGGAUUAUUUAGGAAGGGAUUAUCGCCAUGACGAUUCAAAAGGACCGAAGAAAUAAUUAUUUUUUAUUCGAAUGUAUAUUUUAUCUUACUUUUUUCGAUAUAAUUUUAUGCAAAUUUAAAAUAAGAUUCAACUUUAUGAGAUAUCUUGGAAAGAAUAAGAACGGAAAUGUGCAUCAAUGGCGUCGAUCCGACGGCACGCGUUUUUCCAGCGUUCAAUUCAAUAUUAUUGCGCUCAUUUGUCAAAAAAUAUAUAAUAUAAGGUCAGUAUGAUUAUUAAUUACUUACCAAUUCUUAUUUCUUUAAAGAAUUUGAUCCUUUAAAAAAAUAUAUAAAAUAAUUCGAUCUGUAGAUAUAAAAAAUACAAAGCAAUAUGUAUUUAAUCUAGAGAAAUAACAAAAAAUGAAAGAUUUAUUUACUAUUUAAAUAAACAUCAAAUAUUUCAUAAACAUAAUAAAUAAUAUUCUCAGGAAUUAGCUCGAAAAAUUCGCAAAACUAAUCUAUUACAAAAAUUCGAAAUAAAUUAAAGAAAUUAAUCAUAUAUCGAUCUCUCAUUGGUAAUUUACAAAAAGAAGAUUUUUACAUGUUUUUUCAUAAUCUAUACAACGUUCCUAUAUAGCAUAACAAAUUUUCCAAUCGGCCAAAAAUAUGAAUCGCUUUUUUUUUCACCACAAUACUCGAACAAACAGUAUGUUUAUUAUUAACAAUAAUCACACGGCGAAUUUAGCAUAUUGCUUGCACGCCUGUGCACACAAAACGCGAAUGCACCCUUUGUCCUUCCGCGUCAUUUUGAAUAAAUAAAUCUUCAAUGGACAUCGGUCGAAACUAUGAUAAAAUUUCUACAAAGAAUCUAAAACAAAAGUCUCCGAACAAUGUCCGAUCCUCCGAGAGAAAAUUUCCUCCGAGAUCAUUAUCAUCCUAACCGUCUAAAAAUCUAUCUAUCCCAGAUAAAAAAAAAGAAAAGAAAAGAAAUAUCGAUCGCUAAAAAAGAAUAAUCAUACAUCGCAACACGAUGAAUCAAAUAAUUGAACAGAAAUUUAAACAACGAAUGAACGGUCCACGAGUAAAAUUGUCUCGUUAGCCGCCACUUACCAAAGAGACUUUUAAUUUAUCUAAUUUCUGUGAAAUCAGGAAUAAAUAACUGAUUUAAGGAUAAUCCGGAAACGAUGGUAGGCCUUACAAGAAGGGAUGAGAGGGAGGGAAAAGUAUAAUUCAGCCUCGACAAGCCGUUGUUAUCAAUAACAUUUUUGCAGAGGCCGUAAUAUCCCGGGAAAGUAAUUAGAGUAAAUUCAGGGGCUCCCGGCCGACCCUUCCAGCCGCACAAAAUGGCGGCGGGAACCGCCCUUGCGAAAAAAAUUAGGCCUCCUUCCGCUGCGCAGUAAAAUUUACAUGAAAAAAAGGAACGCCCAGUGGCUUUCGGGAAACGAAGCUUCGACAAUGCGAAUCGUUCUCUCCUUCUAUUUCCCUCCUUUUCCCUUCCACCCGCGUUUCUCCUUCUUUUUUCCCUCCUUCCUCCGCUUCCCCCUUUUCUUUCCUUUCUUUUUUCAUCUUUUUUCUUUUUUUUCCUCCCCCCUCCCCGCCUUCCUUUUUUCCCCCGUGUUUUUUAAUGGGUAAAUCGAAGGGAGUUCCCCGCUGCCGGGGAAAUACCUGUAAUUUAUGUGUAGGAAAUGGAAAAAAUAUGGUAAAAGGUCACGUUCGCCGGUGGACUUUAAAAACGAUUAGAAUCUUAAUAUCCGUCGUAAAAUACGGACCCGGGCAUUAUCAGCCGAGAAUGUAUUUGUCUUUAGCGCCAAUAUACCGUCAGGAUCUUGCCAAUAUUGAUGCCUUCCCUGUUUACUUCUUUUUUUUUUCCUCCUCCCCUUUUUUUUCUUUUAUCACAUUCCAGGAGAAUAUGAUCCAUUUCUGAAAAUUUGUCUCUCGUCACGUCUUUUUAAUCGUGAUAUAAAUAUUUUGUUUCUUGUCACACUGUUGUUGGGAACGGUUUAUCGAUUUUGAUUUCUUAAUUUCCACUGAUUCAGGUAAAUAUUAACUUUCGAGGUUGCACGAGAAGCACGAUUCUCUCAACAUGAUUUUAUAAUGGAUUAUAAGGAGAAGAGGAAUUUCCCAUUGGAAAGAUUAAAGAAUCGAUCCACGCCGUCUGUCGUGCAAAUUGUCGCAAAUGAAAAUUAAUAGAAGGAAGAGCGGAAUUCGAAACGCUUUUUUCUGUUGUUUCUCAUUUGAGAAAAUUUGAAAUUUUAAUACCUUAACUACCCCUUGUGCAAACGGCGCUGGUGAAGCGUGUUAUACAGGGUGUUCUGAAACGGCACAGUGGAUGUAUCAACUGUUUCCCAGCGUCUCUGACGCUUUAAUUGCAAAGCAUUACCCUCUUUUUCUCUUUUUUCUUUUUUCUUUUUAGCGAGAACACGCACCGAAACUGUUCGAUUAAUUUUUUUUUUCUUUUUUAAUUACAUCAUCGCGAGUAGUUUGAGCGUAAAAAUUUAUUCAACAAAAUUUUCGAGAAAAUUUUUCAGUUUUAAACGUAACGUGAUAUUCCAGGCGAAGAAACGCUUGCAAACAAUUUUUAUAUCCAUUUUGCCGAUAUAUUAUUGACAAAUUUACUUGAAGCGAGAAUGGCACGAAAUUGGAGUUAUGGAUUGCUCAUCGAAAUAAAAACGAAUACACGCGUGAAACCAAAGAUAGAUAUAUAACUAUUACUAUAUAAGUAAAAAUAAUAAGCAUCACGUCUUUUGUUGUAUAAAUGAAACGAUUUUAUGAGAAGAGAAGGCAUUAAUUUAUUACAGAUUCCUAGCGAAAGAACAAUUCUAAAUAAUCAAAAAAACAGGAAUAUCGGAACAAAAAGAAGAUCAUCAACCUUUUCAAAGAAAAAUAAAGAAAUGAAUAUCUUUUGAUUACCAAGGAUUACCAAGGAAGGAUAAAACGGAAGGAAAUUACGAUGGAUCAACAUGGCGGACGAUCCACGCGAAGCCAGCGCUCCUAUGAGGACCAGAAGAAACUUUCGAAGAGGGGGAACGGCCAUGAUAUAUUUUUAUCCCUUUUUUUUUCUUCCCAAUCUCGUAAAUAUUCUCUUGAAGCGGGUAUAUUAGCAAGCGGCACGUUCUUGGCAAGGAGCUGCUGCUAUUGACAGGGCAUUCAUAUUAGAGAACGACCACACGCCAUCCGUUCUUUCUUUUCCGCCACAAUGAAAACGGUAGCGAGCCAUCCUUUUCCGCACUUCUGAACGUGGAACCCAUUGAUUGGUAAUCGUUAAUUACCCCAUAGACAAUUUCCUCGAGGAAGGAACCCUUCCUCUGUUUCGACGAUUACAAAAUAUCACCAUUCUCUGGCCGGUGACCGCGCCAACAGGGGGAGAGGAAGAAGGGAAAGCAGUCAGUGGUGUCAAAAGGGAGGGAGAGAGGAUCGUGGACAAGAACGUAUUGAUCGAGUUAUAGUCUUCAGGGGCUCGAGAGGCUCUAUCCAGAGAGGCUGAUGGGAGCCAAUGAGAGGCACGAAGGGUGAAUUUGGAGCAAGAAUGGCGACCGAAGGUUCCCAUCGAAACGAAUCCCUUGCUAAUGGACGUGUAUGUACAUGUAACGCGUGGAUAUAUGCCUUGAUCUGGCUUAAUCGCCCCUGAAAGUGGUAUAUAUAUAUGAAUACAUAUAUAAGUAUAUAUAUAUAUAUUGAUCUUCGAUCGAGAUUGCUUUUUGCACAAGGUGCUAAAUUAAUGGAUCGAAAGUCUGGGGGAAAGGGUGUUUGAAUUGGUUCGUUUCGAGCGAUUCCGACGAUUCAUUAGAGAAGUAAGAAGAUAAAAUUGAAAAGGAGUUAAUGAGAAAUCUGGAGGCUGAAUUUAAAACGGGCGGAAAGUUCGGGCAGGAAGUUUCUCGACGCUUGCUAAUUAGAUGUUUCGAUCGGCUCUGAAUAUUUUACUCGCUCUCCUAUUCGCGAUCAAAGUUCUGAGCCACUUUGAGGGUUACUGACUUUUAAACUGCUCUAUUCUUUCUAAAAAAAAAACUGGCCGCUAAAUUGAUUGGAAUUUUUACUAUCCGUGCUGUAAAUGGUUCUCUUAAAAACUGAAGAAUUUAUACUUUUGCUGGUUUCGAGAUCGACGAUUUGAAUAUAUAUAUAUAUAUACUAAACGAACCUUAAAAAUUGAUAAUUUUUGGAACAUCAUCAAAUGGAUAAAAAAAUAAAAAAAAUUUUAAAUAUAUCGAAUUGAAUUGAAUAAAUUAUUGAUAAACGUGGAACAAAAAUACAUUUCAUUGAUUAUUUACUUACUUUCAUCGAUAGAAAAAUCGAAGAAAGAAAUCCGAUCGAAACAAUCGCUCCAACAACCGCGAGAAAAUCGAGCAGAAAACGAGAAACCCGCAUAGCAAAUGUAGUUUGAAAAACGAAGAAGGCAAGAGGAGCGGAAAAAGAAGGAUACGUUCUCCAACGGUCAAGCGAUCCUCUCUCACACCAUCCAGUGCCGAUUGAAACCGUCAGAAUACCCGAUAAUAGCGGGGAGCGGUAAGGACCGCGAGGAGAGGAUCCGUGGGGAAAAAAAGAAAAAAAAAGAAAAAAAAAAAGAUCGGAAGAAAAGGAGGAAAAGGAAAAGGAGGGUUCGCGAUAAUUUCCAUCGUCCACAGGGCAUCCCCAGCAGGACGAGGAAGAAACGAUACGUUCUUCCAUUACGACUUUCACGCCAUAAAUCACACGGGCAGCCGGCCAUCGUGCCGAUAGAAUUCCCCAUAAUUCGUGAAUUAUUCGUGAAGAGGAGCGGUUACGAGCGGCACGUAAUAUACGUAUCCCCCUAAGAUCCCCGAAGCGAGGGAUGGAGAUGGCGGCGCCUGCACAGCAGCGCAGGCUGCAGGACAUUAAGGGUAACAAAUGAGGCUGGCUGGUCCUCCCGUAGGACACCUUUCCUACGACUGAGGUGGAAUGAAAAUAAGUGUGCCUCAUAGAUACCUUUUUUUCUUCGUUCCCUCGCAUGACCGACCCUCUCUUUCGCUUCUUCAACUCGACCACUCCCCCUUUCCCUCUGUCCCACGCACUUCUGGCCCAUCUUCUUUUUCCAACCUCCCUUCCCUCCUCCCUUAGGUUGACUCGUUUUUUAAACGAGCCACCGCUUAGCCGAGAAACCGUGACGGAGAUUUAGUGCGCGCGUGUGGAGAACCUUCAUCGUGGAGGCAUCGUCUCCAAGCGCUGAACCGAGGUGGCGUGUCGCCAGCUGCACACAACGUGGGGCCACGUGGAAAUAUUUAGCAGUUAGCCAGGAUUAAGGAAUGCGUUAAUUACGAAAUACUGGGCUGCUUCGGUCUAUUAAGCAGAAAUGUAAUUUUCCCCGCUUAAUUGCUCAACGCCGAUCCCUUAAUCUCGCUCUUGAUUAAUCGGAACUUACGUCGUUACGUAGUAAAAAGGGAAUAGGAAAGAGGUGGGCUUGUUAGUUAGCACGAUCUAUCUAUCUUUGCGUAUAAAAUCAUUUUGAUCGUGAAAAUUAUCUAUGCGUUAUCAUCGGUUCGAUAUUUGACUUUAUUAAAUAUUGUAAUUGCGUUCGAAAUUGUUUCACGUGUGUUCACUGUCUGAACGAUUUGUUGAUGAUUUGAAUGAUGUUUGUAUUGUUUCUAUAUACAGAUAAUUUAUAGUUAGGUGAGAUAAAAUGUAUAAGAUGUAGAUUCGAAAGUUACAAAUUCGAGAUCAUUUUUCUAUUGGUUUAAACAAAUUGCAAAUUGGAUAUUUUAUUUAAAGAAUAGAAAUUUAAAUGUUUGGCAAUUUAAAAAGUUCAUGUUGAAAAUUAUCGAUAACACAUAUAUAUAAUAAUUUUUACAAAAAUUUAUAAAUUGUAUCGUACGAAGUAUUGUUCAUCAGAGUGCUAAUACUUAAAUUUUAUAGCAUUAAAAGAAAACUUUUCUGCGCAUUACAUUAAGUUAAUAAUCGGAAUAUUCAAAUAUAAUAAAAAAAAAUAUCACAAAGAUUACUGGAAACACAUAUAAGAAUGGGACAACAAAAAGAUUAGAAAUGUUCUGUAUUUAAAUUAUUUUAAAAUCAAUAAAUAAAGAAAAUUUAAGAACUCUAUUUUAGAAUAAAUUUUAAUAAGUUAAAAAGAAAAUGCAUAGAAUCAUAUGGAAGUUAUUUCGAUCACGAUUCAAAAAAGAAUUAUUUAAAAGGAAUAAUUUAUAUCUAUCAAUUUAAAUUUAUUCAAAUCUUCAACUAUCUCAAAAUAUUUUAUCUACUGCCUCUGCAAAAACUUGCACGCCAUUGUAUUUAUUAUAAAAUUUAAAUGUUAAUUAAUUAAAUUUAAAUACAUUACAUUUCAUAUCAUCUGAUAAUCUUUUAUAAGUACGAAAAUGAGAUCCAAAAAUAUCUAGAAAAAAAAGAAACAUUUAAAAACUACAUUUUAUGGUCAAUGUAUUUUAAUUUUUCGACAAAAAUUUAACAAUUAUUAAUCAAAAUCAAGAAACCCCUUGGCAAAACCACCCCUACAAGAGAAGCGGUCUCGAUCAACGAUAAAAUAAUGAAUAAAACUGCUGGAAGGGAACGGUAUAAUAAUGUAAGCAGCGAGCAACGUUGUUUCAGAAAAAAAAAAGUCUAAAAUGAAAAUCUCGACACGGCUAAUUGGUAAACAGUUGCGAGGCAGCGGGGGGUCCUUCGCGGAAGAGGAACAAAAGAAGAACACGGCGGCGAGGAAAUAUUUUCUCGAUUAUUACCAGGGAUUAAGAAGUCCAGUAACUGCAAAAUACUGCGUCUUUCUUUUUUUUCUUUCCUUUUUUUUUUUUUUUUUUCAUUAUUAUGCGGGAAACAGGGCAAGCCUGUAGAACGUGGUGGUCGGCUUUUGUUGAUUGGACGAAAGCGUGGCUUCCGCCCGCCAGCGUGCAUGCGCGAGCGGGGGGCCGAGGAGCGCGUGUACAAGUGUAAAAGAAAGAAGACGAGCGUGUGUAUACGAGCGACCGAUGUGCGAUUGAUGCGACACGAACUAUCGAGAGGAAUGAAUUUGUGUCGACGGUCCUGCGAAAGAAUGCCACAGGUUGACGCCGGGGGAAAAUCGGUCUCGCGGUCUCUGAGCCCGAUACAGAGACCUCGAUCCGUGUAUUCGAACGCGACAGUGUAGUAGAUUGAAAGGAAUCGUAGCAAUUCAUUCGAUUAUAAUAAUUGUAUGAUUUUUUUUCUCGUUUCGUUUCUUUUUUCUGAAGCAUUUUUUAAAUUUUGUCACCGAUAAUUUAAAUUGUACUUUGAAAAUUGUAAUUCAUAAACGAUGUUAUUAAAUAUAAAACUUUGUACUUUGUCAA